UACGGGGGGGGCAAGCGUUGUUCGGAAUUACUGGGCGUAAAGGGCGCGUAGGCGGCCUACUAAGUCGGACGUGAAAUCCCUCGGCUCAACCGAGGAACUGCGUCCAAUACUGGCAGGCUGGAAUCCGGGAGAGGGAUGUGGAAUUCCAGGUGUAGCGGUGAAAUUCGUAGAUAUCGGGAGGAACACCAAGGUGCGAAGGCGGCGAUCUGGGUCGAUACUGACGCUGAGGUGCGAAAGCGUGGGGAGCGAACAGG
rnacentral:rRNA from 1 species